rnacentral:rRNA from 1 species
GGCGGACGGGUGAGUAAUGUCUGGGAAACUGCCUGAUGGAGGGGGAUAACUACUGGAAACGGUAGCUAAUACCGCAUAACGUCGCAAGACCAAAGAGGGGGACCUUCGGGCCUCUUGCCAUCAGAUGUGCCCAGAUGGGAUUAGCUAGUAGGUGGGGUAACGGCUCACCUAGGCGACGAUCCCUAGCUGGUCUGAGAGGAUGACCAGCCACACUGGAACUGAGACACGGUCCAGACUCCUACGGGAGGCAGCAGUGGGGAAUAUUGCACAAUGGGCGCAAGCCUGAUGCAGCCAUGCCGCGUGUAUGAAGAAGGCCUUCGGGUUGUAAAGUACUUUCAGCGGGGAGGAAGGCGAUGAGGUUAAUAACCUUGUCGAUUGACGUUACCCGCAGAAGAAGCACCGGCUAACUCCGUGCCAGCAGCCGCGGUAAUACGGAGGGUGCAAGCGUUAAUCGGAAUUACUGGGCGUAAAGCGCACGCAGGCGGUCUGUCAAGUCGGAUGUGAAAUCCCCGGGCUCAACCUGGGAACUGCAUUCGAAACUGGCAGGCUGGAGUCUUGUAGAGGGGGGUAGAAUUCCAGGUGUAGCGGUGAAAUGCGUAGAGAUCUGGAGGAAUACCGGUGGCGAAGGCGGCCCCCUGGACAAAGACUGACGCUCAGGUGCGAAAGCGUGGGGAGCAAACAGGAU